rnacentral:lncRNA from 1 species
GGGCGGGAGAUUUGCUACUGUGAUGCGGAGAAAGUUGGACGUAUGUAACCGAGGAGGUAACUAGGCAGAACUUAGUAUAAAUGGGCUAAUGGAGUUACGAGCUAGUUAGGAGCAAGCCUAAGCUAAGACCAAAAGUAUUGUAAGUAAAUAUGAGCCUUUAUGCCAUUAUUUGGGAACUGAGGUGGACAUAGAGAAAGACCCACAGUUGCGUUUGGUGCUCAAUGUGCGGAAGAAAAUCCAAGCUUAGAGCCUGGGGAAAGUCCUGGGUGAAGGCGGCUUCCUAGCCAAAGAGCAGGGAAGAAGCAGGAGACCGCCAGAGGCCGAGUGCUUCUUUAAGAAGCCCUCACUGAGCAGAAAAACCAGAUCCACUAUCAGAGCCUCGGGGCAGAGAAGGUCAGAGCAGCUUUAGACAGACACCUGGGAGCCAGGCCACUCGGGGUGCAUGCACAUACUUAGCCACACUUAGCACACCACAGCCACCACCCACCCCAUCCCCAAGGCACAGCCACACGCACAAUCUGACUAUGUUGCGUGGCAGGCUUCGUCUCUGCUCAUAGCUUCAACAGUGGAAAGGCUGAAGUCAGCCCACACUACUCCAGUGAGAGUCUUGGUGCUAACAGAGGUCUGAGCAAGCAGCCCCGGGGGCUUACACAUGUGGGCCCAGGACAGGCAGGCACCCCAUCCUACACACUCUGUGAGCUACUGGCAAAGCGAACAGAUCAGGUCCCUGCACUCCAAAGCCCAGAAGCCUCGGCUCUUCCAGUAAACUGUUAGACUGAGCUGAACAGGGGGUCCAACUAUUCCUUGUGGGCUUAAGGGCUGGGGCGGGGCCAACAGCGGGCUUGACUGGGAGCUGAAUGUCUGGAACAGGGUUACCCUCAGUGGGAGGUGCAAGCCGCCGAACAGCUCAACAGAGACAACACGCGGAAGAUACCUAUCUAAGCCCAGACAGAAGCCCUUGAACAGGUAAAAAAAAUAUUUGGAAUUAUGCUUCAGUGCUAAAGAAAGAAAAGAAAAAAAUAAUUUAAAAAUUAAUAAAAUAAAAUCUCUUUGGGAAGGAGAGAGUUAGAGAU